UAGGUGAAUGUCCGCUGGUUUGGACUCUUAGCUGUUAAUAAGUUUUUGUAGGAUCGAGGCCUGCUCAUCUAG